UACGUAGGGGGCAAGCGUUUGUCCGGAAUCAUUGGGCGUAAAGAGCGUGUAGGCGGCCAGAUAAGUCCGCUGUGAAAUCUCGAGGCUCAACUUCGAGCUGUCGGUGGAAACUGUCUGGCUAGAGUCCGGAAGAGGAGAAUGGAAUUCCUGGUGUAGCGGUGAAAUGCGCAGAUAUCAGGAAGAACACCCGUGGCGAAGGCGGUUCUCUGGGACGGUACUGACGCUGAGACGCGAAAGCGUGGGGAGCAAACAGG
rnacentral:rRNA from 1 species